UGGGGAAUAUUGGACAAUGGGCGGAAGCCUGAUCCAGCCAUGCCGCGUGUGUGAAGAAGGUCUUCGGAUUGUAAAGCACUUUAAGUUGGGAGGAAGGGCAGUAAGCGAAUACCUUGCUGUUUUGACGUUACCGACAGAAUAAGCACCGGCUAACUCUGUGCCAGCAGCCGCGGUAAUACAGAGGGUGCAAGCGUUAAUCGGAAUUACUGGGCGUAAAGCGCGCGUAGGUGGUUCGUUAAGUUGAAUGUGAAAGCCCCGGGCUCAACCUGGGAACUGCAUCCAAAACUGGCGAGCUAGAGUAGGGCAGAGGGUGGUGGAAUUUCCUGUGUAGCGGUGAAAUGCGUAGAUAUAGGAAGGAACACCAGUGGCGAAGGCGACCACCUGGGCUCAUACUGACACUGAGGUGCGAGAGCGUGGGGAGCAAACAGG
rnacentral:rRNA from 1 species